CUCAGAGAUGGUAGAACUGGGCUGUAUGACUCCAUAGACCACUCCUAGCCUGCUGCUUGCUCACCUUUCCCAUUCUUCAUCUGUUAAAAGAAUUAAGAGGCAAGAAAACAGAUUCCAUAAAUGAUCCCGGCUGGGCAGGAGACUAAACUGACCUCCAUCCAUGUCCCUGCUACUGCCCAGGAGAUGAAGAAACUCCUCAUAGAGUCCUCAUCCUGUGCUUAAUGCAGCACCUUUCCUUCCUCAAGAAACACUAAGUGGUAACACUCCACACAACAGAAAGAACGCCCCUGAAGUGAGGCCGCAGCCUUUACUGUAUACUGCAGGCACCUCACAAUUUGAAUUUGCUCUGUCACUCUGGUGAUAACAUCUGUCAGCUGAGGAACCACUGGUGGCCAGCCUCUAUGCUAUCAAGUUACCUUCAUUCCCAUGGCAUCUUGCAUCUUUUAGGGAGGUGUUUUGAGAACUGGUAUGUACUUGAUGCUCAUCAAACUUUUAGCUUCUUCAUUGACAGCGGACUUGUUCAGUGUGGACUCAUGGACUCCUACCUAGCGUCAUAUUGCGCCCGCCCCCCCACCAGCCAGUGGGAGCCUUAUUGGUUA